rnacentral:rRNA from 1 species
GACGAACGCUGGCGGCGUGCCUAAUACAUGCAAGUUGAGCGCUGAAGGUUGGUACUUGUACCAACUGGAUGAGCAGCGAACGGGUGAGUAACGCGUGGGGAAUCUGCCUUUGAGCGGGGGACAACAUUUGGAAACGAAUGCUAAUACCGCAUAAAAACUUUAAACACAAGUUUUAAGUUUGAAAGAUGCAAUUGCAUCACUCAAAGAUGAUCCCGCGUUGUAUUAGCUAGUUGGUGAGGUAAGGGCUCACCAAGGCGAUGAUACAUAGCCGACCUGAGAGGGUGAUCGGCCACAUUGGGACUGAGACACGGCCCAAACUCCUACGGGAGGCAGCAGUAGGGAAUCUUCGGCAAUGGACGAAAGUCUGACCGAGCAACGCCGCGUGAGUGAAGAAGGGUUUCGGAUCGUAAAACUCUGUUGGUAGAGAAGAACGUUGGUGAGAGUGGAAAGCUCAUCAAGUGACGGUAACUACCCAGAAAGGGACGGCUAACUACGUG